rnacentral:rRNA from 1 species
AGAGUUUGAUCCUGGCUCAGGAUGAACGCUGGCGGCGUGCUUAACACAUGCAAGUCGAACGAAGCACUUAAGACGGAUUACUUCGGUUUGAAGUCUUAUUUGACUGAGUGGCGGACGGGUGAGUAACGCGUGGGUAACCUGCCUCAUACAGGGGGAUAACAGUUAGAAAUGACUGCUAAUACCGCAUAAGCGCACGGUCUCGCAUGGGACGGUGUGAAAAACUCCGGUGGUAUGAGAUGGACCCGCGUCUGAUUAGCUGGUUGGUGAGGUAAGGGCUCACCAAGGCGACGAUCAGUAGCCGGCCUGAGAGGGUGAACGGCCACAUUGGGACUGAGACACGGCCCAAACUCCUACGGGAGGCAGCAGUGGGGAAUAUUGCACAAUGGGGGAAACCCUGAUGCAGCGACGCCGCGUGAAGGAAGAAGUAUUUCGGUAUGUAAACUUCUAUCAGCAGGGAAGAAAAUGACGGUACCUGACUAAGAAGCCCCGGCUAACUACGUGCCAGCAGCCGCGGUAAUACGUAGGGGGCAAGCGUUAUCCGGAAUUACUGGGUGUAAAGGGAGCGUAGACGGUGAUGCAAGUCAGAAGUGAAAGCCCGGGGCUCAACUCCGGGACUGCUUUUGAAACUGUUGAACUAGAUUGCAGGAGAGGUAAGUGGAAUUCCUAGUGUAGCGGUGAAAUGCGUAGAUAUUAGGAGGAACACCAGUGGCGAAGGCGGCUUACUGGACUGUAAAUGACGCUGAGGCUCGAAAGCGUGGGGAGCAAACAGGAUUAGAUACCCUGGUAGUCCACGCCGUAAACGAAGAAUACUAGGUGU